rnacentral:rRNA from 1 species
UCAUUACAACAGCCAUCGUUUACUAGAAAAUCGUUGUCCUACUUGGAUAACUGUGGCAAUUCUAGAGCUAAUACAUGCAAAAAAGCUCAAACCGUAAGGAAUGAGCGCAUUUAUUAGAAUAAAAACCAAUCGGGUUUAACCACCCGCUCUUUGGUGAAUCUGAAUAACUUUGCCGAUCGCACGGUCCUAGUACCGGCGACGUAUCUUUCAAGUGUCUGCCUUAUCAACUUUCGAUGGUAGGUUAUACGCCUACCAUGGUAGUAACGGGUAACGGAGAAUAAGGGUUCGACUCCGGAGAGGGAGCCUGAGAAACGGCUACCACAUCCAAGGAAGGCAGCAGGCGCGCAAAUUACCCACUUCCAGAACGGAGAGGUAGUGACGAAAAAUAACGAGACAGUCCUCUUUGAGGUCUGUCAUCGGAAUGGGUACAAUUUAAAUCCUUUAACGAGGAUCUAUUGGAGGGCAAGUCUGGUGCCAGCAGCCGCGGUAAUUCCAGCUCCAAUAGCGUAUAUUAAAGUUGUUGCGGUUAAAACGCUCGUAGUUGGAUUUGCGGCCUGGGAGAACGGUCCCCCGAAAGGGUGGUAACUGUUACUCCUAGCCUAAAUUUUUAGUCUACUCUAUGCUGCCCUUAAAAAGGUGCUUAGAGUGACUAGAACGUUUACUUUGAAAAAAUUAGAGUGCUUAAAGCAGGCGAAAUCGCCUGAAUAAGGUGCAUGGAAUAAUGGAAUAGGACCUCGGUUCUAUUUUGUUGGUUUUCGGAGCCCGAGGUAAUGAUUAAGAGGAACAGACGGGGGCAUUCGUAUUCCGGCGCUAGAGGUGAAAUUCUUGGACCGCCGGAAGACGGACGACUGCGAAAGCAUUUGCCAAGAA